GACGAACGCUGGCGGCGUGCCUAAUACAUGCAAGUCGAACGGCAGCACGGGAGCAAUCCUGGUGGCGAGUGGCGAACGGGUGAGUAAUAUAUCGGAACGUGCCCAGUAGUGGGGGAUAGCCCGGCGAAAGCCGGAUUAAUACCGCAUACGACCUGAGGGUGAAAGCGGGGGAUCGUAAGACCUCGCGCUAUUGGAGCGGCCGAUAUCAGAUUAGCUAGUUGGUGGGGUAAAGGCCUACCAAGGCUACGAUCUGUAGUUGGUCUGAGAGGACGACCAGCCACACUGGGACUGAGACACGGCCCAGACUCCUACGGGAGGCAGCAGUGGGGAAUUUUGGACAAUGGGCGCAAGCCUGAUCCAGCAAUGCCGCGUGCAGGAAGAAGGCCUUCGGGUUGUAAACUGCUUUUGUCAGGGAAGAAAUCUUCUGGGCUAAUACCCCGGGAGGAUGACGGUACCUGAAGAAUAAGCACCGGCUAACUACGUGCCAGCAGCCGCGGUAAUACGUAGGGUGCGAGCGUUAAUCGGAAUUACUGGGCGUAAAGCGUGCGCAGGCGGCUUUGCAAGACAGAUGUGAAAUCCCCGGGCUCAACCUGGGAACUGCAUUUGUGACUGCAAGGCUAGAGUACGGCAGAGGGGGAUGGAAUUCCGCGUGUAGCAGUGAAAUGCGUAGAUAUGCGGAGGAACACCAAUGGCGAAGGCAAUCCCCUGGGCCUGUACUGACGCUCAUGCACGAAAGCGUGGGGAGCAAACAGG
rnacentral:rRNA from 1 species